rnacentral:rRNA from 1 species
AGUGAACGCUGGCGGUAGGCCUAACACAUGCAAGUCGAACGGCAGCACAGUAAGAGCUUGCUCUUACGGGUGGCGAGUGGCGGACGGGUGAGGCAUACAUCGGAAUCUACUUUUUCGUGGGGGAUAACGUAGGGAAACUUACGCUAAUACCUCAUACGACCUACGGGUGAAAGCAGGGGAUCUUCGGACCUUGCGCGAUUGAAUGAGCCGAUGUCGGAUUAGCUAGUUGGCGGGGUAAAGGCCCACCAAGGCGACGAUCCGUAGCUGGUCUGAGAGGAUGAUCAGCCACACUGGAACUGAGACACGGUCCAGACUCCUACGGGAGGCAGCAGUGGGGAAUAUUGGACAAUGGGCGAAAGCCUGAUCCAGCAAUACCGCGUGGGUGAAGAAGGCCUUUGGGUUGUAAAGCCCUUUUGUUGGGAAAGAAAAGCAGCAGGUUAAUACCCCGAUGUUCUGACGGUACCCAAAGAAUAAGCACCGGCUAACUUCGUG